ACUUGACCCUUUGAUGUGGUAGAAGAAGCACGUGUCACAGCACUAGGCUGAGGGACUGUUGCCGCAUGGAUGGGAGCUGCAGUGCGCUCAACUAUGGCAUAGGUCGUCCCGAUCGUCAUUUGGAAAGCUGAGUACUUACAGGCAUGAAUGGACAUACUGUAGGACCGGUUUUGGGGUAGAAGGGGCAAUGCUGGGGGAGGAUACUAUCAGCUCAGACCUGCUGGGAAGGGAAUAUGGGCAGCAUGGCCAUGCUAGGGCCACUCAAUGGGUAUUCUUCCUCCAGACCUUGAAGGCGGCAGGAAAUCCUCUACGUGCCCACCUGAUGGGCUGCAACCAGAGUCAGCCACUGUCAGCCUACACUUCAGCUUCAUCCACAGACCCAUGGCUCACUCAAACUCACACAUGGAGGCAGAGUCACAGAUGGGGCUGGAAUACGGCCGCCCAUUUCUUCAUCUUCCCAAAUUGGGAAAUUGUGACCCUAUGCAGUUUGCAGCACAUCUCACACACAGAAUCUUGCCAAAGAUGAUGUAAUGCGUGGAGUCAUAUCUGGCAGGUGAGGCACGCUCUGGUACAGUAAAUAUUGCAGCUGUUCUUCGGAGCAAAUGGUUUUGAAAGAAAUUUCAGAUGGUAAAAUGCAUACAGAAAAUCUGCCAUCAAGGUGCCAGUUCUCUGGCAAGACAGAAAACCCUACAGAGUACUACAGAGUGGCCGUAUGGCCAUGGGGGAUGAUGGAAAAACCCUGGCUCCUUCAUUCAUCCUCCCUCUGGAAGUGGUGCUCACUUGAGCACAGGCAUCACGGCACAUGGGCACGAGCUGUGUGAGCCAGGUUUGGGGCUGGAGAGCGGUGACACCUUAAUUUUGAUGGGAUGACAUACAGCACAGAGUCACACGAUAGAAAAUAGGAGCAUGGGGUGGGUAUAAAGUAUUUAAUGCCUUGCAAAAGGCAGCUGAGGAAGCUGCAAAGGAGAACUCACCACUCUUGACUGCUUGCCUGGGGCUGUGUGCAGCUGGGUAAAGGAGAAGUGAGAGGACAGGGGUCUGCCUGGGGCUGGAGGAGCCGUGGCUUUGCUAGCAGUCAGAACUGAGGUCUGCAGUAAUGAGGCAAAAAGGCACACAGCACGACAAAGCCUGGAGCAGCCCUGCCUGAUGCGGGUGGCAGGAACACGCAGUGCCAGGGGCAGCCAAGUUGAUCUCCCAGGUUCUCCAUAACCUGCACUGUGACCUUGGGCAGUGCCCAUCACCCUGUCCUCCUCGUGCUCCUUUGUGGUCUGCUCAGAGUUCAGAAUUAGCCCUUGCUAAUUUGAUCCCUCAGUGUUUCAUCAGUGCCGCUCUCCUCCAUCACCCUCCACGCCGUACAUUUGGGUGGACGGCUGAAAGGACUCCUGCUCUCUUUUGAUCACUGUCGGCUCUCCCUGCUUAUUUGCUGCCCUCAUCUCUCCUCCUUCCUGAGCAGCUCUGAGUUCGUUUAAAAGAAAACACAGUAUUUUGCUCCAUUUCUAAAUAUAUUGAAUGGUACGGCAUUAUCACAGUGGAUGCAAAUAAUGACUUUUACUUCACUUUUCUAACACCUGUUCCAUCUGCACCCAAGAUGCUGACUGCGACUGAAGAAAUGGUCCUCCCCCAUCACCCCGGGGCUGAACGACACAUUGCACUAUUUGAGUGAACACUGCAGUAUUUGAGUGUAGAUGGGAAAAACAAGCGUUGGACCGAAUGCUCAGUACAUGGAAGAAGCUUUCCUGCUGGCAGCUUGUAGAGGUGUCACCCAGCCCAUCUGAACGUUGGAGAGACACUGGUUGCCCUCUGGGGCUGGGGCUGACGUUCAGGGCUUGAGGCUCCAUUCUCCACAGCAGAGCCUGGUGGGCUCCAGCCAACUCUCCACAGGGGAUAUUCAGAUUCCUCCAGGGAUAAAAACUGUCAGAGGAGAUGGAUACAGCUGAGUUGACACAGACAUACAAUCUUGGCUCCUGUGAACCAAGGACUUAGCGGUGUCACUCCCAGAAGACCACUGAGGGGUUUCCAGCCUCCACCCUGAGAGAGAGGCUCAAGGACUUCAAGGACAUCACACUUCGAUGGGAAGAAAUCUUCACUCUGCAGCCUGAGUGCAUGCAGAGAAGUUAUAAAUCUUUUUUUCUGGUGCCAGCAUUUACCUUAAAUAACAUUUCUGCCUCUCUACCGCAGUGACAGCUCAAAUUGGCUUUUCUUUGGGUACACUGCAAACUGCAAGUUUCUCCUCACGACAGUCUCUGUUUCCUUGGUUGACUGUUUUGUCCAGUACUGGUAUUCUUUGUGGGGCACUUUGCUUUUGUAGCAAACAACAGUGUUUGUGUAGCACUCAAGCAGGCAUACUGAGAGAUACUGUACAGCAUUAUCAUAGAAUCAUAGAAUGGCCUGGGUUGAAAAGGACCACAACGAUCAUCGAGUUUCAACCCCCCUGCUAUGUACAGGGCCGCCAACUACCAGACCAGGCUGCCCAGAGCCACAUCCAGCCUGGCCUUGAAUGCCUCCAGGGAUGGGGCAUCUACAACCUCCUCGGGCAACCUGUUCCAGUGCGUCACCACCCUCUGGGUGAAAAACCUCCUCCUAAUAUCUAACCUAAACCUCCCCUGAAACUCCUUCCUCCAUGAACCUCCCCCCUGAACUCCCCAUUAGUCCUACUUGCUUGGUUUUCUAAUGGACAGGGACUCAUAAUCCCAUAACUCAAUCAACAUUAUUGGCGAAUGGAUCCUUGUGUAGUCUUUCAGGUGAGAUACUGAUAACCAGAUCCACUAACCCUAAAAUAUUUCUCUCUCUAGGACAAGAAAAUAGAUCCUUCCCCAUUUCCAAAUUCAUUCUCUACACUUCUAAAAAUAUGUGAAAAUAGAUUUUGCUGGCCUGGUUUGUCCCCUCACGGAAAUGCGCCCAGCAAGUUAUUCCAGAUCUACUCCAGCGUCACCUCUGUUCAGUGUUUAUUUUGGAAUAAAUAAACACUGUGGACAUGCUUCUCU
ensembl:lncRNA